AGUUGUGCUGCCAAAUAGUCCUGGCUGAGUGGCCUUCCUCUGGAGUGUGGCUGGCUUGUCAGGGCUGCUAUACUCUUAGAGAAAACUGACCCUUCCUUUCUCACAAAUAACAAAAGACAAUACAAGCUUCUGUCUGACACCAAAAGUUUAUGUAAGCUGUUUUGAAGCAAAUCUGCCUAGUUUUAGAAUUCCACAUUAUUUAUGGACAUUUUUACUGUGCUGUAUUUUGUUUUGAAAUAAAGUACCUGGGGAUAGAAUUAUAGUUUUUUCAUCCCCACCUCUUUUGAGGUGCUCUUCUGGGAACAAUUGCUUAGUCUGCUCCCCCCCCCCCCCAAGUUGUGUAGAUUUAGAAAGUGAAUUCCCAUUCUUACCAUGAAUUAUUUGAAAAGAUAGGAAAUGUGUUUUGGACUCCAGUGGCAGUAACAUCAUUGCCUCCCUUUUUAUUACCAUUGCUUUGUUGCUCUGUGCUGCAGUGUUUCACACAUCUUACCACGGUGAAUCCCAACUGCACUGUUGAUGCAGUUGCCUUAUUUUAUGUUGGGUAAACUGAGGCACAGUGAAGACACAGCAUUAUCUACCUGUGGGCUUGAAUUAGCUGUGUCCAUGUAUGCUCCUUAUGAUCUUACUCGAUAGGACAUCAUUCUUACGAACGUUGUGUUAUCUGUUGUUUUAAUAAAGAAAUUCACGUUCUUUUUACAAAGAAACAGUUUUUCAAAAACCAAUUCAUUUUCUCAUCUAUAACCUAUCAGAUCUUGUUGGAAAUCUCAAGCUCUGCUUGAUAAAUUCUGUCAGCCUGGUUACAUUCAGUGUGCUAGCAGCUGUUUAAGGAACUAAUACCUACUGUUUGUCUGUGAGGUGUUUUCGCUUUUCUCCUUUUCUUGACACAAAGUCUCACUAUGCUGGUACCAAACUUAGGGCAUUUCUUUCACCUCUGUUUUUGAGCGCUGGAGUUAGAGGCCUGUACCACCAGACUUAGUGUCUCUGUCUUCAUGAAGCUUAUUCUGUUGGGAACAUAGGUGGGGGGAAAAGAACAUAGAAAUAAAUGCAUGCUUAAAAUGUUAGCAUGCACAGUACAGAUAGACAUCUGUGCAGAGAAGUGUGCUAGAUUCUAGGAAAUUGAUGUUGCCCUAAUCUCAGACAUAUGAAAUAAUAUUUCCCCUUGGUGUGCAUUGUGAAUGUUUUCCUCUUUAUUUCACUUUCUUUUUCUUUUUUUCUUUUGAGUACACUGUAGCUGUCUUCAGACACACACCAGAAGGCAGCAGCGCUUGCACACUGACCUGGAAGUCCCAGCAGCAGCAUCACGUUUGUAUGCCUCCCGUGCUUGUCUCCUUUUCCUUGUUUUCUUUUCCCCGAACCUCAGGACGACAGAAGUAGUUUUUAGGAUACAUUUUAUGUUCCAUGCUGUGACUUUAAAAACAUGCCAAUCAAACAUCCUCUCUUUUCUUCUCCAUUCCUACUUGAGGGGAGAAUAAAUACAAGUUAAGUAGUUUAUU
ensembl:sense_overlapping Gm20712 predicted gene 20712